GACGGGCGACCGAGCAACUGGCACCCGACAAAGCCAAUCAGAGGCGGAAGCAGAGCCUCCGGGGUGGGCGCCGUCUGGAGCCCGCCCCCUUAGCCUUCUGUCUCCUGGAGAAAGGCGGAAGGAAUGCGGACCUUUCUGAAGUGAUGGCCGCACUAGCCUAUCAGAGGCGAGCUCAGGAAGGCGGAGCGGAAGACUGGAGGAGUGAAACGGAUUGACGGAGCGAAUUACCAAUGAGAGCCUUGCUCCAGAUCCUGCCCUACUACCGGAGGACCCGCUCGAGAAGGGAAAUAGGGCUACGUCCAGGUGUAGGAGGUGUCAGCGUCCCAGUGACGUCAUAGGUCAGUGCACUCAGCUCUGGCCUCCCUACGUAAAUGACCAUUUUCGAGGGGCUCUGAGCGAGGUGAUUUCCAUUGCAGUUUCCAUCUCUAUAUUGGUGACUCAUAUGUCAGUUCUCUGUGCCUCAUUUUCCUCCUGUGGAUACCUCAUGGGUUCUUUUGAGGAUAGCUAGAUUAUUUCCCUGAACACAUAAAAAAUUAAUUCACCACUUUUUAUGUCAUUAAGUUUUUGUUUAACAAAUAUAUUAUGAAUCCUCACUGGUUACCAGGCACUCUCCAACAUGUCUUCCUGCCUCUCUCUGUCCCCUUACCCUGUUUUCCCCCCAUAAGAUUUAUCACAGUUGUUAGUGCCAUCGAGUCAGUCGACUCAUAGUGACCCUGUAUCACAAAAGUAAAGCUGCCCCAAUAGGGUUUCCGAAGCUGUAAUCUUUAUAGAGGAGCCCUGAUGGCGCAGUGGUUAGGCACUCAGCUGCUAACUGAAAGGUGAGCAGUUGGAACAUACCAGCUUCUCCAAGGGAGAAAGAUGUGGCAGUCGGCUUCUGUAAACUCUAGGGGGACAGUUUUACUCUGUCCUGUGGGUCUCUAUGAGUCAGUAUCAACUUGACAGCAAUGGGUUUGUUUUGGAGUUUGGUUAAAAAAAAAAUUGAAGACAUUAGUCUGCUUCACUUCUAAACAUUGGUGUAUUUAACUAGAGUUCGUAAUUUGUUUAUAGCUCAUUUUGUGUUUUGUUUUUGUUAUUUUUAGGUAAAAUUUAUAAUCAAUGAAAUGCACAAAUCUUAAGGGACAUUUGCUGAGCUUUGAUAAAGGCAUAUAACUGAGUAACCCACUUCUAUAAAGAUGUAAUGAGGUCAUACUGGAGUAGGGUAGGUCCUAAUCCAAUAUGACUGGUGUCCGUGUAAAAGAGACAGAGACACAGAGGGACAGCCCUGUGAAGAUGCACCUCCAAGCCAAGGAUCACCAAGGAUCACCAGCUGUCACCAGAAAGGAGGACAGGGCAUGGAACAUUCUCCCUCAGAGCCCUCAGAAGGUAUCAACGUGGCCGACACCCUGAUUUGCACUUCUGAUCUCAAGAACUGUGAGACACUACAUUUCUGUUCUUGUAAGCCACCCAGUUUAUGGAAUUUUGUCUCAACACCCCUAAGAAAAUAAUAUAGUGAUAUAUUAGGGGUAAAUAAAAUAUAUUCCUAACGUUCA